rnacentral:sRNA from 1 species
AGCAGCCGCGGUAAUUCCGGCUCCAAUAGCGUAUAUUAAAGUUGUUGCAGUUAAAAAGCUCGUAGUUGAAUUUCGGGAUCAGUAUGUUGGUCGUGCUUCGGUACGUACUGUCAUUACUGGUUUCUACCUUCUGAAGAACCAUGAUGUCAUUAAUUUGGUGUCAUGGGGAAUCAGGACUGUUACUUUGAAAAAUUAGAGUGUUUAAAGCAAGCUCGCGCUUGAAUACAUUAGCAUGGAAUAAUGAAAUAGGACGUUUGAUUCUAUUUUGUUGGUUUCUAGGAUCGACGUAAUGAUUAAUAGGGAUAGUUGGGGGCAUUAGUAUUCAAUUGUCAGAGGUGAAAUUCUUGGAUUUAUUGAAGACUAACUACUGCGAAAGCAUUUGCCAAGGAUGUUUUC